UUUUCACAAGUAAGAUUCUCUCAAUUUUUUCUAUUUCUUUCUCUUUUUCUUUUUCCUUCUUAUGUGAGCAACUUGAUAGUAUUCUUUGUCGUGUGACAACUAUUGUUCAUUGCAUGUUUCUCUUGGCAUUCUUGAUGGCAUAUCGACAGGUCUUUAUUUGGAAGAAUUUUGGACAUGAUUAGAAAGAAAGGACGUCAUGAAAGCUCAAAAUAGACUCAAAGUAAAGGGGGUUGUAGACUUACAACUUUUGGAAUCGACUCUUUCAAAAGUGAAAUAAAAUAUUUGCCCCAGAUUCACCUAUUGGGGAUUAUUUUUUUGGGAUUUUUCCUUUUUUUCCUCUUUUCUGAAUUCUUAUUUGGUUGUACCAAACCGUGAGACUGUCUACGUAUCCUUUUUUAAGGAAUCAGGUCGAACGUAGUUCAAACAUCUAACCUAAUUAUUUUUCAUCUUUCUUUUUGUUUUUUAUUUUCUUUUUUUUAUUUCAAAAGAAAUUGCCCCAGCUUCUAUUUUCUGGGGGCAUGGAUCUUUGACUGUUCUUUUCUUCUUCUCCUUUUCACUUGAACUUUCUGAUAAUUGCCCCAGUUUUUACUCUUGGGACAUGGGCUCUUCUUUUUUUUUCAUCAUUUUUUAUUUUUGUUUUUUAUUGGACUUUUAACUCUAAACUUGAUUCCAAAAAAGGGUGGUCAAAGAAAAUAACACAUGCUAAAAGGGUAUAAAGUGUUUGGGUAGCAGAAAAAGGGCCUUCCAACCUCGAGAACGCCAAACAUAUUAUCCUUUUGCAAUCACAACAUUGAUGAAUAUGCUUGUAUUCUUGGUGUGUCGUGGUCACAAGAUACUUUUCAUCCAUUAAUGUCAAACUUUCCAACAAUCUUCAAUUGAUUUUUCCUCAAGCUCGAUCUUCACAAUGAUUCGACGGUGACUUUUACUACCUUAAUUCCCAAGUAUUCCAACUCUUUAUUCUUCCCCAAAAGUAUUUUUUUCUUUUUUAAAUUAUCCAAUUUCAGAUUAAAUUAGUUUCUAAGAUCUGGCCAAAAUUUUCGCAUGCAUAUCAUGUCAUUAGAACUAGCGAGAAAUGAACUAGAAAUAGAAUGACACAAAAGGACAAUCUGUAUUUUAUUGAAUAAGGAUGGAAGUGUCCUAUAACGAAAAUGAAAAAAAAGCUAUCAUGGCUAAAUGAGGAGUGACUUUCCAAUUACUAAUUAACAUCUUAGCCACACGUUCGCACAUUAGCAUUACUACGAAUUUAACCAUUUUGAUGGAUUCAGAUUCAACACUCAAAUUUUGAUGAUCAUCCCAAGCAGCCCAUGACCCAUUGCUCAAAUCUGGUAAAGCAACCCCACAUUCGCCUCCAUUUUUAAUUUUUCACCGGCAACUUGCCUACUUGCCUUUUCAUGACCCUGGAUCAACAACAAUGGUGCUAAUUCCAUUGGUUGAGAAGAUGCUUUUAUUUUCGAGAGAUCUUGGAUUGUUCUUGUGACUCACCAUUGCAAACCAACAAACCGACCACCUUUGGCUAGUUUUUAUUUCAAAAUAAU
rnacentral:lncRNA from 1 species